GCUGCAAACGCAAGCAAGAUCCAAACAGCUCUAUGCAGCUGUGUCACGAGUUAAUUUCUUUGAAAAACAUGGCGGCUGUUUGGUGUACCGAGUCUACGACUAUACUCCAUGUUAUCGUCGAGAAGAGUAUUCUAGUGACGUGCUCUUUUAUUGCGCAUGAUCACCAGCAUUCAAGUCGCUUCCCACAGCAGUUGCGGCAAGCGACGAAUACGCUUGGUGUAAAUAUCUCAACAGCCGACAUCAGCACUCUACGCGCGACAAACUGUCACUUGUAGACGCGUCGUCUAAAUCGAGCUUUAUAGAUAUAAUAUAUAUUACAAUAAUCAUAUAAUCAAAUAUAAAAAGUAGUGUUUAGUCAUAGGAUAUAUCAAAUGACAAUUUUCAAUGUUCUACAAGCAACACUUGUUCUUAAAGAACUUCAUUUUUAUGGUUUAAAGGACAAUUUAUUAUCUAAAAAAUUGUUCAUUAAUG
rnacentral:lncRNA from 1 species